AUUCUUUCAACAACGAUCUCUCUCUCUCUCUCUAACAAAAAAACUCAUCUUCCAUUCAUUCAACAACAACUCUCCUCUCUCUCUCUCUCUCACACACACAAAAAAAAAAAAAAUCCCUUCUUUCGAUUCAUUCUUUCAUCUUUGGAUCCACUCCUUCAACUCUUUCAACAACAACAAGUAUCAUUUUUCGAUCCAUUCAUUCCACAACAACAAUCUCCUCUAUCACAAAAAACUCAUCUUUCGACCAUUCCUUCAACAACAACAACAACUCUCUCUUUCAUUUACUCUUUAGGUGUCAAACUCUUUAAAUUCAAGUGUCGUACUCAAACAGCAAUUUUCAAACAAAUUAAGAAUGAUGAGAAUUUGGGACCAGUUUUAGCCAACAGAACAGUCAAGGCACUAAUUGAUAAGUAUGGAAAAUGGGUGAAAGAUGGCAGCCAACCUUCCCUUACCAAAGGUGGUUGUCCUGUUGUAGAAAAGACUGGUGGUGCUGAAGAGGAUUCAAGGCAGAAGACUGUUGGUGCUGAAGAGGAACGUGGUGUUGCAGGCAUUGCUACUGCCUUAGAUGAUUUGAUUGACUGUUUGGGUGAGACAACAGAGAAGCUGAAGAAAAUCAGGGAAAAUCUCCUAAAAAAGAUGUGAUUGAUUUGGAUCUUUGGAAACAGUUGAGUCUUUCUUCGUUCUUGGUGGUUACUUGAAGGUGAAAGUUAGGCUCUUGAGGAUCUGGCACUGAUGCCUUAUUUUUGUAUAUGAAGAAAAUUUGUUUGGCAGGAGAGAUCUCACUUUGUGUGACAAUAGAUUUUCAGACAGAAAAUAGGCACUCGUGAAUGGCGAUGGAUACUUUGUAGCUAUAAGAUAGUAGAUUGUGAUGUUUAUUCGUUUUGUUAGUUCAUGUUGUUGAUGUUUAGGCAGGGUAGAUUCAUGAAUGUCUGGUGAAAUUUUAUGUUGAUGUUUAGGCAGGGUAGAUUCAUGAAUGGCUGGUGUAGUUUUAAUGUGAGGUUAUUCCGUGCUUCUCUUUGAACUUGUUCAUGGAAAUGACCUUGAGAUUUGAGAGUAAUUUUUGAAUUUCUUGCUUCCAAUUUCUCUUGAAUAGAGGACAACUCCUUUAAACUUGAGUGCAGCUUUGCUCCUUUUCCUAGAGCUCCUUUUCUUCCUUUUCCUUUAAUUGAUUGAGGACAUGCGGCAAAAAUGAAUCUGAUGGUUGGAAUUUAAUGACUUUAAUUAAAUAAUUAAAAAUUAAAAACAUCUUCUUCCUCCUUCGUCACUUUGUCAACCGCAGCCACCGUCACUGCCACCCCCUUCCAGCCGUCAUAGGGCGGCGGUUUUCCUCCCCUUUUCUCAAUCGACCACCACGCACACGCACCACCUCAACAUCUUGUCAUUUCGCAUUCGCCGCCGGCCCGUUUUGCCGCAAUGACAGAACCCAACCAUGUCGAAGCUGCUGCAAAGCAACCCAGCGUCAUUACUAAUAUUCAUGAUCAAGUGAAAAUAGCCAGAGUCGUGAUGACGAGGUGGUGUGUGGAGAAGAAUGGAGGAAGGAUGCCGCUGUUGUGAUGACGGCGAGCGGCGGCGAGGGGAAGAUGAAACGAUGAUUGUACAGAGAAAGAAGAAGAAGAAGAAGCGGCGCAUGUGUCGUUUCUGGGUUCCUUUUCUUAUGCUUUUGUUAAAAGAAUAAUUAAUUGUAACCUUUAAAUCUCAACCCUCUAUUUUUAGUUUCCCACAUGUCAUUCAUCUGUUCAAUGGACAGGAAUAAAAGGAGCUAGUAGAAAUGGAGCAUAGCUGCGCUCUUUAAACUUAGGGUCUGUUUUGUUUAGUUUAAUAUUUUGAUGAGGAGGGGAGGGAAGCAAAUCCCUCUUUAGUUAAUUUUAGAUUUAGAUUGAGGGAUAGAAGAUGUUUAUAUACUUAGUAUGUGCUUGGUUACACGUUAGUAAAAAUUAAAUGAUAGUGAGAGUGGUCAAAACUAUUUGCCCGAGUUAGAAGGAUGUUUGACUCUUGGUUUUGAAAUCGAUUCUCUACUCUCUCUUAUGUGUAGCUUUGAACUUGAAUUGAUUCUCUAUGUCAUGCCACCAUUUUGGAUUCCAAUAAUUUUUGAUAGUUCAAGAAAAAUUUACUUUGUGUUGAAAGUUGAUACAGGGAGGGAGAAAAAAGACAUUACAAAUUAAACUGCAAAAAACUGCAAUAAAUCCCUCCCAAAUGGACUGUUAUGGAAAGUUCUUUUUCUAGUACACAGUGAACUAAGUAGUAUCUUUGGGUUUGUGGCUUAAGAGUGAAUAGAAAUGGAAAAUAUUGAUUGAAGCAUGUGUGGCUGACUAGUUUUUCUUGAAUAUAUUUGUAGUGUUAUCA